UGGUACUGAAGAGUAGGGCAUUGCUAUAAAGAUAUGUGAAAAUGUGAAAUCAGCUUUGGAACUGGGUAACAGGCAGAGGUUUGAACAAUUUGGUGGGCUCAGAAGAAGACAGGAAGAUGAGGGAAAAUUUGGAACUUCCCAGAGACUUGUUAAACUGUUAUGACCAAAAUGCUGUUAAUGAUAUGGACAGUGAGAUCCAGGGUAAUGAAUCUCAGAUGAAAGUGAGGAAGUUAUUGGGAACUGGAGCAAAGGUUACUUUUGUUAUGUGUUAGCAAAGAACCUGGUGGCAUUGUACCCCUGCCCUAGGGAUCUAUGGAACUUUGAACUUGAGAGUGAUGAUUUGGGGUAUCUGGCAGAAGAAAUUUCUAAGCAGCAAUGUGUUGAAGUUGUGGCCUGCCUGCUUCUAACAAUCUAUGCUAAUAAUGUGUGAGCAAAGAAAGGACAUAAAAUUAGAACUUAUGUUUAAAGGGGAAGCAAAACAUAAAUGUUUGAAAAAUUUGCAACCCAGUCAUGUGGUAGAAAAGAAAAGCCCAUUUUCAGGGGAGCAAUUCAGACUGGCUGCAGAAAUUUGUAUAACUAAAAGGAAGGCACAUGGUGAUAGCCAUGACAAUGGGGGAAAUGCCUCAAAGGCAUUUCAGAGAUCUUUGUGGCAGCCCCUCCCAUCACAGGCCUGGAGGCCUGGGAGGACAGAAUGGUUUUGUGGGCCUCACUCAGAGCCCCACUACCCUGUGCAGGCUUGGGACACUGCUCCCUGCAUCCCAGCCAUUCUAGCUCCAGCCGUGGCUCAAAGGGGCCCAGGUACAGCUUGGGUCACUGCUUCAGAAGGUGUAAACCAUAAGCCUUGGUGGUUUCCACAUGCUGUUAAGCCUGUGGGUAUGCAGAGUGCAAGAGUUGAGGCUUGGGAGCCUCCACCUGGAUCUCAGAGGAUGUAUGGAAAAGCCUGGAUGUCCAGACAGUAGCCUGCUGAAGGGGCAGAGCCCUCAUGGAGAACCCCUACUAGGGCAUUGCAGAGGGGAAACGUGGGACUGUAGCUCCCACACAGAGUCUCCACUGGAGCGUUGCCUAGUGGAGCUGUGAGAAGAGGGCCACCUUCCUCCAGACUCUGGAAUGGUAGAUACACUAACAGCUUGCACCUGUUGCCUGGAAGAGCCACAAGCACUCAACAUCAGCCUUUGAGAGCAGCUCUGGGAGCUGAACCCUGCAAAGCUAUAGGGGUGGAACUGCCCAAGAUCUUGGGAGCCCACCCCUUGAAUCCGUGUGCCCUGGAUGUGAGAUAUGGAGUCAAAGGAGAUUGUUUUAGAUCUUUAAGAUUUCAGGACUGCCCUACUGAGUUUCAGACUUGCAUGGGGCCUCUAGCCCAUUUGCUUUGGCCAAUUUCUCCCUUUUGGAAUGGGAGUAUUUACCCAAUGCCUAUACCUCCAUUGUAUCUUGGAAGUAACUAACUUGUUUUUAUUUUAUAGGCGCAUAGAUGGAAGGGGCUAGCUUUGUCUCAGAUGAGACUUUGGACUUUAGACUUUCGAGUUGGAAUGUAGUUGGAGUUUAGACUUUCAUUGGAAUGAGUUAAGACUUUGGGGGACUGUUGGCAAGGCAUGAUUGGAUUUUGCAAUGUGAGAAGGACAUGAGAUUUUGGAGGGGCCAAGGGUGGAAUGAUAGGAUUCGGAUCUGUGUCCCCACCCAAAUCUUAUGUCAAAAUGUAGCCCUAAUGCGGGAGGUGGGGCAUGGGAGGUGAUUGGAUCAUGGAGGCGGUUUUUCAUAAAUGAUUUAGCACUGUCCCCAUGCAGUGGUUCUCAUGAUAGUGAGUGAGUUCUCAUGAGAUCUGGUUGUUUUAAAGUGUGUAGCACCUCCCCCCUUUCUCUCUUCCUCAUGCUCCAGCCAUGAGAAGAUGCCUGCUCUGACUUUGCCUUCCACCAUGAAUAAAAGCUUCCUGAGGCCUCCUCAGAAGCAGAUGCUGCCAUGUUGCCUGUACAGCCUGUGGAUCUGUGAGCCAAUUAAACUUUUCUUUAUAAAUUACCCAGUCUCUAGCCAGGCGUGGUGGUGUGUGCCUGUAGUCCCAGCUACUUGGGAGGCUGAGGCAGGAGGAUUUCUUGAGCCCAGGGGUUCGAGGCUGCAGUGAGUUACAAUUGCACCACUGUACUUCAGCCAGGGCAACAGAGCAAGACCUUGUCUCAAAAAUAAAUAAAUAAAUAAAUAAAUAAUAAAUUACCCAGUCACAGGUAUUUCUUUGUAGCAGUGAGAGAAUGGACUAAUACACCCUCCAUACCAUACCCUGCUACUUUACCUCCCUUUCCAACUACUGUAGAAGAUACUCAUUGUUAUCAUUUACUAUCUCAUAUGUGCAAAAACUGAAGUUUAAAGAGGUUAAGUAAUUGGCUCAAGGUAUCACAGCUGGUAAACAGAGACGCUGAGAUUUGUUCUCUUUUGGUUUUACCCUAGAACCCUCUCCUAACAUUUUUUUUUAUUUUGACUCUUGUUUGGCAGAAUAAAUAGCAAGGACAGCAUCAUCUUUGCUGAGGAAAGAUGACUAUUAUUAGUUGUAGGCAAGUGGAGAGUCGUCAGUGUUCCAUCAGCUUUUCCCCUGUGUCUCUCAUCCCACGAAUGAAGAGCAGAUGUGAAAAUUGCUGCCAGCCACUCACUUGUCAGAUGAGAACUGACUUGGCUGUGCUCAUUACAGAAUUAAUUUUUAGGUUGUGAUGGUUUUAAUAAGGCAUGUGAAAUAUAGAUGUCCUCAAGAUUUAUAAACUUUAAUUUAGAAGUGUCUUUGAUUCUAAUACAAAUCUAUUUUUACUUACAGUAAGAUAGCAAAGAAAAAAGUCUCUGGAAAGGUUCUGGAUAUGUCUAAGGAAAAUUUGAUUAGAUGGUCCAGUGUUUCAGUAACACACACAAGAAGCUUCUGAAUAACUUGUAAAAGUGAGAUGAUGUGCCCCACUUUGAUUUAAAUUCCAUUACAUGUAUCCUCAGGAAUUAGCAAAAAAAUUUUUUUCAUAAUAAAACUCAUUAGAUGAUUUUCACUCAUAAAGAAUAACUUGUUUGAGAAUAAAAUUUGUCUGGACACAAGUAUUGGUUCUGUAAAAUGAAAGGAAAUAUCCAAAAUUCUGUGCAAUUCUCCAUUAAAUAUAAUCCUAAGGCUACUUCAGAGAUAUUUUUGUUAUUCAGGAUAUGGAAUGAGCAUGAACAUUUGCAUUUUACUGGUCACAAGAACCAUUAAGGAGAGAAACUCCCGAAAUAUAGUAAGACAUGACUGGUUUCAACUCUAUGUUGGCUCUGUAUGUUUGGAAUUCCUUGUAAUUCCAUAUGUAUUUGGAUGAUGUUUACUUUUGCUGUAUCUUUGAUGAAAUGAUAUGUUAAACUAACUUCCUGCAGUAAAUAAAGGAGGAAAUUGUAAAGC
rnacentral:lncRNA from 1 species